rnacentral:rRNA from 1 species
CCUACGGGAGGCAGCAGUGGGGAAUAUUGGACAAUGGGCGAAAGCCUGAUCCAGCAAUGCCGCGUGUGUGAAGAAGGCCUUCGGGUUGUAAAGCACUUUAAGUGGGAAAGAAGUUCAUUCAAUUAAUACCUGGAUGAAUUGACGUUACCCACAGAAUAAGCACCGGCUAACUCCGUGCCAGCAGCCGCGGUAAUACGGAGGGUGCAAGCGUUAAUCGGAAUUACUGGGCGUAAAGCGCAUGUAGGCGGUUUGAUCAGUCGGAGGUGAAAUCCCCGAGCUUAACUUGGGAAUGGCAUUCGAUACUGUCAAGCUAGAGUAGGCUAGAGGAAAGGGGAAUUCCGCGUGUAGCAGUGAAAUGCGUAGAUAUGCGGAGGAACACCAAUGGCGAAGGCACCUUUCUGGGGUCAUACUGACGCUGAGAUGCGAAAGCGUGGGGAGCAAACAGGAUUAGAUACCCUAGUAGUCCU